UACGUAGGGUGCGAGCGUUGUCCGGAAUUAUUGGGCGUAAAGCGCGCGUAGGCGGCCCUUCAAGUCGGGCGUGAAAGCUCCGGGCUUAACCCGGAAAUUGCGUUCGAUACUGUCGGGCUAGAGUGUGGAAGGGGCUACCGGAAUUCCGUGUGUAGCGGUGAAAUGCGUAGAUAUUGGGAGGAACACCAGUGGCGAAGGCGGCUCGCUGGACCGGUUCUGACGCUGAGGUGCGAAAGCGUGGGGAGCAAACAGG
rnacentral:rRNA from 1 species